UUCAAAAUAACACUGAUAUGUUCUGGCUCCACUUUCAAAUUUCAAACCAUACUUUCAAUCCGCCCCUCUCUCUCAAAUCUAAAGCUUUCCAUCUCAUUCUUCUCCCUCUUUCCAUACGUUCUGCCUCCCAAGUCAUUCUUAUCCCCUACCGAGCAAUCUUUCCAUCAAGGGUUUCAAGAUCCGCAUCAUCAUCAAUUCGGUUUCAAACACCAUAUCCCCAAAUACUUUCAAACGCUUCCAGAUUCAGUUUAUGUCUCUCCUUCUUUCUCUUUUUCUCUAGAUGUUGGUGAUGGUGAUAAUAUUCCUAACAAACGCCUUAAGCAGCUGCGUAAACAAUUUAUGAUAGUCAUAUGUGUACCUUUUUCCCUAAUCAGGUAUUUGUUUAUGAUAUUUCAUGCUUUUCUAUUCGUUUAAGCAGAUCCAGAAAGAUGGGACAACUUAAAAUCUAACAGCUUGUGAGAAAAAAAUGGUUAUGUAAGUCGUAAUCUUUCUCUAUUUUUUAUUGGAAAUUUUUAGUUCAUAGUGAUAUGAUUUUGUGAUUUAAUUUCAACUAUGAUGCUUUGAAUCUGGUUUAGAGGUUAUAAAAAAGGAAUUUGAUAUUGAGGGUUGAGUUUUGAUAUUUUUUAAGGUUGCUUCUACUCGUGGGGGAAGGUUCUCAUGAUUGGUGGUCAUUUGGUUCUUGAGGGGCCUGCGGUAGAAAUUGUGCUGAGUAUAAAUGCCAGAUUUUAUGCUAUUUAUAAGCCUCUUUACGUUGAAGUGGUGAAAUAUGCGAGUGAUUUUCACUAAGAUUAGUUUUGGCUGUUCGACGAAAUGCCUAUGAGAGAUUACUAGAAAAAGAGGCAUCUUGCAGUGGGUUUGAUCUUUAGCUUUGAUUCCACAUGGUAUGUGGGUACAGUUGUGAUGAACAAAUAUAGAUUUUGGCGAUGAUGAUAAAGUAAAACUUGAAUGAAGAUCUCACCAUAGCGUGGCAGGGUUGUAGGAUGGCAAGGGUUUUUAUGGCAAGUGUUAGGUGCUGUUUGUUUUUUGGCCAGAAGUACUUCUGGUCACUUAUGUCUGCGCGACGCAGACGCGCGCAGACGUUUGAUGUCUGCAGCUUGUUUGUUUUCUCGCAGACCUUUCAUUAAAAAAGGUCCGCGAGACCUCUUCUUGGAGCAGACAUGGACCCAAGUCUUCUUGGAACCUCUUCACCACGCAGACCUCUUCACCUCCAAAUCUGCCACCACCAUCUCCACCUCCGCCACCAUCUGCAGCUCCACCUCCACCUCCGCCACCAUCUCCACCUCCACCUCCCUCCACUCCGCCACCACCUCUGCUCCACCUCCACUCCGCCACCACCUCCGACAUCAUCAUCAACAUCACAAACAAAACCCCCAAAUCGACAACCCUCAUCAUCAUCAUAAACAGAAGGUAAAGAAAUAGAAGGGGGCGGUUACCGUGAAUCCCGUCAAACCGAAUCACCACCCCCGCCGUUCCAUUCUUCUUCUGGUUCUCCUCUCUCUCACUUCUAGUCUGCUUAUUUUCGCCGCCGCACCACCACCGAACGGUGGUGGUGGUGCUCAGUGUCGUCAAUCGAAGGGGAACUAGUGGGUGAUUGUGUCGAUGACCUGCUAGUGGAGACGAACGGACGGAGAGGUCCGCCGGAUGCCGGUGUUCGGCUCUGGUCAUCAGACCGAGAAGAUGGAGAACGAGGGAGUAUGGGGGUGUUGGCUAUAGUUUGUGAAAAAGGAACUAGGGUUUCUUGAAGUUGAAGAAGAAAGAGAGAUGUCUGGUGUGUGUUGUGUGUGUAAUGUGUGUGAAGAGGUUUAUGUAUAAAAAAAAAAAAAAACAAACCCUCUUCUUCUUGCAGACUGCAGACCUUUGGUCCACCUCUUCUCCUGCAGAUGCCUGCAGAUGUGGUCCGCAGACUGCAGACCUUUUCCUACAGAAAAAACAAACAGAACCUUAAUAUGACUUAUACAAAUUUAUGAUCCUGAUAUUAAUAAUUUGUCUGAACACGAGAAGUUAUUUUCUCAAGUUUCGUGUCGUGAGAUAUCGGAUGUGCCGAAAACUGUGUUUAUCAAGGAUGUGAUCACAUCUGAGAUGCAUCAUGUUGCACCUAAUAAGCCAGGUGCGUGUUUGAAGAUUCGGCAUCUAAAUUUAUAUAUGCAUUGAGCUUGAUAGUUGAUAGUUGAUAAGGUAAGUUUCACUGUGAUGCAUAUGUAUCUUAGUUUUAUCUUAAUAUAAAUUAAUAAUGUGUUAUGCUGGGAAUUGUUUCAUGUGAUGCAGAAUUUUGAGAAAAUAACUUCUCGUGUUCAGAGUAAAAACAAGGACCAAGUUAAACACUAUUAUUAUCGUCUUGUGAGGCGUAUGAACAAGUUGUUUGGCCCGGAACUUUCUCUUGAUGCCAAACACUCCAAAUAUACCAAUGCUGCCAUGCUUCGAUGGUGGUCGUUACUUGAAAAAUACAGCUGUAAAGUCUCAAAGCUUCACUUGAAGCCUCGAAGAUUCAACCAUUUUUUGGAGAGCUUGGAAUAUCAACUAUUGAAAGACCGUAAGAAGAAUAUCAAAAAAUGACCCGUUCAGGGGGAAACGGUUCGAUAAAAUCCAUCACAAGGUGUCUUAAAUCAGAACAAUAGCAAAGGAGACUCGUCUCCAGUUUAACAAGCCAGACAGAAGAAAAGAUCAGGUGAUUGAUAAAUUUAUUAUUCUCUGCCAUGAAGGAAUAUCAACUAUUGAAAGACCGUAGGAAGAAUAUCAAAAAAACGAUCCAUUCAGGGGGGAAAACCGUUCGAUAAAUCCAUCACAAGGUGCCUCAAAUCAAGGGGAUUAUAACAUGAAACAUCGGGCUGCCACUCUUGAGCUGUUACACACACAAAGGGUUUUUUUCUGUAAUAUGCCCCCUUAUUUCCUUAAUGCUUCUGUUGGAUUGGGAUAGAUAAAACAACCCUCCAAAAUUAAUUUCCGACAUCCCUGAUA